UGGUCGAUGAUGAUUCCCACAUACGCAUUCUUUGGAAGUCUGAACAAAAUGAGUGAGGAGGAGAAAAAAAGAAUCACAAUUCUGCCCU
ensembl:snoRNA SNORD116 Small nucleolar RNA SNORD116